ensembl:lncRNA MIR7515HG MIR7515 host gene
AGAGCAUUUAACAUAACUGUCUUCAUCAUCUCCUUCUCUACAUUAAAAAUUAUGGUUCACAAAGACGUUAUUGGUGAUUCAAUCUUGAGUCAUGAAAAGUCAACCUUGAGCCACAAAAAGUCAACCUUGAGCCAAGCAGAUUGGAGAGUCAUACAUGCCAUUCCUGGGACCAUCAAAAAUGGCAGAGGUCACACAAAAAGGCAAAACUUUUAAGAGGUGUUUUAAACGUCGUAUGGGCCAAAGAGAAGCUGGAUUUCCUAUUGGAGUCACCUGUAACACACGUGUGACGAAAUUGGCCUGUGAGGACAAGGCAGUGAGCAGAGAGGACAGCAGUCCUUAUGAGAUCAAGCUCUAAGGUAUCCUAGACACAUUUGGAGAAUUCACCUGAGCUACAGGAUGUGAAAAGUUGCUAAAACUGCUGUGAGAUUCUGGCUAAGAAAGUUUCAUGAGAAGUUUUACAGAAAAAUGUGAACGGAAGACAGAACUAGAUAUAAAUUUGAAUGUUUUGAGAAGAAUGCGAAGAAGAAAGGAAGAGUGAGCCUCUCUUUCCCAUCGUUACCCUCCAUUGUCCUCUUGACACCCUGCUUUCACAGAGAAAGAGUUUGAGACCCUCUCCCAGGAGCCAAGGAGAGGGGAACAGCUGGCUUCACAUCAUCUUUCUAUUCAACAAGAUACAAAAAGCUGAAGCCAGGAUGAUAGAAAAGCAACAAAGAAGACACGGUCCUUACUCAUUUCCCUUCCC